GUAAAUUAAAAAUAUAGAGAUUUUGUGUAUUAAAAAAUAAUAGUCUUAUUGCAUUUUACAUAUUUGGUGUUUGAAAGAAUAUUAUGUGUUUCAUUCUUUCUUUUUCUCAUUUAGGCACACAGAGAAAACAUCUAAUGAAAAGAGAAAGGUCAAAAAAGAAAUAAAUGCUAUGGAAGACCUUGAUGAACCACAGCCAACUGUAAUAGCCUCAACAGCUUUUCAAGUGACGUGCCCAAAUUAUAAGGAUAUUUGGGCAUAUGUUGAAAAACCAAGCAGGUCAUAUGAAGGUUUCUACCAGGAAUGAAACAGAGAAAGUGCCCUUGCGUGAAUUCCACAUGUUGAAGGAUAAAUGUGAUAUGCUGAGUCUGGAAAUGAACCAAAUGAAAUGUCAGCAUGAGGAAGACAAAAAGAAAUAUCUUGAUGUUUCAAGAGCAGAGUGUCAUGACCUUCAUAGGAGAAUCAAAUUAAUGGAGGAAACAUUUAGGAAAACAACAUUGCAAUAUAAUAAACAGAUUAAUUCUCUGAAAACUGAAAUUACAAAGCUAAAUGUUAAGCUGAAAAAUAAAGAACAAAACACCGAAAGACAGAAAACAGAAGCCAAAUCAUACCCUGCCAGUCAGGCUGUCGCUCCACACCCUUGUGAUGAAAGUCAGACAUCACAAAGAGAACAAGAACUUCUUUCCCAGAAAGCAAGAGAUGGGUGCCCUUAUUUAGAGGACAAGAGUAAUUUCAAAAUAUCAAAACGAAAUGUUAGGAGGUUGAUUCAGUCCCCAAAGUUUUCCAAGCCUGGAAUAAAAUUCAGAGACCAAAAAAAUAAGGCCUCUGUAUUCAAACAAGGCGUGAUCUUAGAAAAGUGACUAUGGUAUUGAACCGAGUACAAAGAGACCUAAAACAAAACCAGUGCCAAAUGAAUGAAAUGAAGCACAUGUAUCAAAAUGAACAGAGUCAAAACUACAAAGAACUGGAAGCUACAGAUGAGAGAUUAUCUCAAAUAGAAAGUGAAAUUAUAUUUCUAAGACAGCAGUUCCAUGACUUUUGCAACAAAGUUGAUGAUAAAGAAGGCUUAUAUGUUUCUACCCAAGAGCAACGGGAUACCAUAAAACUAAUUCAGGAAGAGAAUGAAAACUCCACUCACAAGCUACAAAACAGAAGUAUGGAGUUAAUGAAUAGAAAUUGUCACUUAAAAGAAAAAUCAGAUAAAUAUAAAAAGAACUCUGAGAGAAAAGUAGCUGUGAGACAACUUCCACAAGAACUGGCUGGUAACCUGACAGAGCAACCUAUGUCAGAGGCUUCACUAGAACAUCCAUCCAGUAAUCACCUUGAAGUAGAAUAUAAGGCACAGGUUUUGAAGAAGAAACUAGAUCAAAUCAAUUGUAAAGUCGAUAAUCUCAAUAUAAAACUAGAAGCUACAGCUUCAAAAUAUUCACAUUUGGAUGAACAAUUUGAACUUGCUUUGGAAAGGCUACAAUAUACAUGUGAAAAAAUACAGAUCAAAAGAAGUUGGAAGAAGAUGUAGCAAACCUCAAAAUUUAUGUGCAGGACAAUAAAAUAAAAAAUGGUCAAGGAGAGCCUCAUAGAUGGGAGAUUGAACAAAGAACAAGAGAGAUUUUAGAGGAAAACCAAAAACAAGCAUCUCCAUUUUCAGAGACAUUUAAUAGAGCUUCAAAUGAAAAUAAUAAGGUUUCAUUAAUGAAGUUGAUGCAAUUCAGAAUUGAAAAGCUAGAAUCUCAAGUGUCUUAAAUUAAAAAUGAAAUUUCUGAUAAAACACCAAGAAUCAGUAAGAGGCUUCCAGAAGUUAGUAGCAGAUUCUCAGUGAAAACACAGAGAGGUUGUUUACCCUGUGCUCACUGUGGGAGGCCAGUCCCAGGGUGUCCUUGUGUCAGACUUAAAAGGGACAACUGGGUAAGUUUUAACCUGGGAGAAAACAUAGCAGAUGCUACUUCCAACCCACAACCUUCAUGUCAAACCCUUGAGGACUAUCUGGCUGAGUGAAAUCAAGAGAAGAGCAAAUCUAAGAUUUAUAAAAAUCCAUGUAGUAAAAGAUGAAUGAGAAGUUGGCCAGAGGCCUUAUCUAGAAAAGCUAAUGCAGGUAUGUUGCCAAACUAUGGUUGAAUUUGGAUUUAUUAGUGGAUUUCUGAAAAACACAAUACACAGCAGAUGGCAUGGCUUUCCUUGGAUUGGUGAAUAGAUUUCUACAUGAAUUGAAUUGCUUUUCUUAAAAACAAACAUCAAAUGAAAAUUUUGGAAGAAAAAUACCAAAAAAAAAAAUAAACUCAUUUAUCAUUUACUCACAUUCAUGGCCUGUAAAGGCUCAGACUCUCUGUACAUACCUUUUUCUGGAUUGACUCUCUUUUUCACUUCUGCCACCACUAUGAAAACAAAGGCAUCACCCACUUCUAUCUGGUUGUGGCCAAAACCCAGACUCAUCUAGGAACACUUGGCCAAGCAUUUCAAAUGCCUUGACAUUGACUUUGUCAUUGGUUUUGCUCUCAAGAAAAGUUCCAGCUUUCCUAGCAAGGAAUUCAGAUAUCCAAACCAAUUGAAUGCUCAUCAGGUCCUUCAGCUUAUCUCUUGCACACACCCUACACUGCCCCUCUGCCCUAGCUUCAAGUCACACUGUGAUACUUGUAUUCCUCACCUCUCACUCUUUGCAGGCACCUCUUCUCUCUCUCUGUCAUACUUCCUUUUUAUCCUUCAGGUAUCACCUCAACCCAAAAACUAUACUAUUGACCUAAAAUGGGGACAGAAGUCACUUCUGUGUUCCAAUAGUGCUUUUGUUUUAUACCUCUUAUAGCACCCACCACUCUAAGGAAGUAUCCUGUCCUUGUGUUUUUAAACUUAGGGGGUCUGAUUGGUGACAAGAUGAAGAUGAUGAUGGCUUUCU